GGGGGUGUAGCUCAGUCGGUUAGAGCGCCUGCCUGUCACGCAGGAGGUCGCGGGUUCGAGUCCCGUCACUCCCG
rnacentral:tRNA from 1 species